rnacentral:rRNA from 1 species
ACCCUUCGGGGUUCUAGUGGCGGACGGGUGAGUAACGCGUGAGAAUCUAGCUUCUGGUCGGGGACAACCACUGGAAACGGUGGCUAAUACCGGAUGAGCCUGCGGGUAAAAGAUUAAUUGCCAGAAGAAGAGCUCGCGUCUGAUUAGCUAGUUGGUGAGGUAAAAGCUCAUCAAGGCAGCGAUCAGUAGCUGGUCUGAGAGGAUGACCAGCCACACUGGGACUGAGACACGGCCCAGACUCCUACGGGAGGCAGCAGUGGGGAAUUUUCCGCAAUGGGCGAAAGCCUGACGGAGCAAGACCGCGUGAGGGAAGAAGGCUCUUGGGUCGUAAACCUCUUUUAUCAGGGAAGAACACAAUGACGGUACCUGAAGAAUCAGCCUCGGCUAACUCCGUGCCAGCAGCCGCGGUAAUACGGAGGAGGCAAGCGUUAUCCGGAAUUAUUGGGCGUAAAGCGUCCGCAGGUGGCUUAUCAAGUCUGCUGUCAAAGAGUGGGGCUUAACCCCAUUAAGGCAGUGGAAACUGAGAAGCUAGAGUGCCGUAGGGGUAGAGGGAAUUCCCGGUGUAGCGGUGAAAUGCGUAGAGAUCGGGAAGAACACCGGUGGCGAAAGCGCUCUGCUGGGUCAUAUCUGACACUGAGGGACGAAAGCUAGGGGAGCGAAAGGGAUUAGAUACCCCUGUAGUCCUAGC